UACGUAGGGUGCAAGCGUUGUCCGGAUUUAUUGGGCGUAAAGAGCUCGUAGGCGGUCUGUCGCGUCGGAUGUGAAAACCCAGGGCUCAACCCUGGGCCUGCAUUCGAUACGGGCAGACUAGAGUACGGCAGGGGAGACUGGAAUUCCUGGUGUAGCGGUGAAAUGCGCAGAUAUCAGGAGGAACACCGGUGGCGAAGGCGGGUCUCUGGGCCGUAACCGACGCUGAGGAGCGAAAGCGUGGGGAGCGAACAGG
rnacentral:rRNA from 1 species